rnacentral:lncRNA from 1 species
UUAUCCUUCAUCAAGUUAAAUUCAUGACAAGCAACAGAUUUAGCAUACCACUUAUUCUUCUUGGAAAUAUUACAGAGGGAUAGCACGAACUUGAAGUAUAUUCUUGAACGAACCACCGAUAAGAAUUUGAAGACGGAUGAAGGAUACUUCAAAUGAAUGGAGAUACAUGAGAACGAGAAGAUCACAAUCCGUCUAGCAGAAAACUUCAACAAGAGACUUGUAAGAAUUGAGAUAUGAAUGAAUAGAUAUAAAUUGAGAAGAGUUCGAUAAUGAUAGCUAAAGGCUGAGAAUGAAGAAUUCUUCUGAAAUGAUCGCCUUCAGAGGAUCGAGAACCGAACACCACACUGAAAUGCUUUAGUUGAACAUCACUUUAGUUGAAUCCACCGGGAAGAAAAGGGAGACUGAGAAAUGACAAACUUGAAU